rnacentral:rRNA from 1 species
ACGCUCGACACCUACGGGAGGCAGCAGUGGGGAAUAUUGCACAAUGGGGGAAACCCUGAUGCAGCAACGCCGCGUGAAGGAAGACGGUUUUCGGAUUGUAAACUUCUGUUCUUAGUGAAGAUAGUGACGGUAGCUAAGGAGCAAGCCACGGCUAACUACGUGCUAGCAGCCGCGGUAAUCUGAGCGGGCUGGCAAGGC